CUUUCAUCCUUUCGGGGUCAAUAAAAUAAGUACCAGUUGAACACUGGGGUUGAUUUAAUCGACUUAUACUCUCCCCUGAAAUUGCUGGCCUUGUGCCAAAAUUUGAAGUUAUUACUAUUAUUGAAAGAAAUUGGGUCGGACUCGUUUGUCAGUAAUGACUUUCUUACAGAAGCACUUAUUUUUAAAUACAUUAAUGUGUUUGUUUGUUUGUGCAUGUGUGUGUGUAUGUUUAUAUACAUAUGUGUGAUAUAUGAUGUAUGUAUAUUUUAAUUAAUGUAUGAACAAAUGAAGCGCCUAGCUUACAAGUAUUCAGUCACCUUUGCUUUGGGAUAGGGUUAUCGAUGGAAUUUUUGAUAUUGUUGGCAUUGAUUUCAGUUAAGGAUAACAUAGCUGAGUUGUAAGAUGAUACCCUAAUUUUCUGGGGGCUUUUUUUUUUUUUUUUUAACUACAAAUGUCAGUCUUGCGAUAAUUUCUAGUCAUAGAUUAUUCGAAACAAAUAUCGCCGCAUUCUAACUUCAACAAUGUCAUUAGAACAUUUUUUUGUUUCCACCUCUACAAUUUUUGGUGGAAUGAUCAAAACUGUCCCAAAUGACUUCAUUCUUUUGAGUUGAGAUAUAAUUUAAUGACUAAUUGUUAUUUAUGUUUAUCCAAAAGAAAAUUCAAAUUUUUGUCCCAAAUUAUUUUGGUUAUUUUUAAGGAACAAACUAACAAUAUCUUGUGCUAUGAUUUUUUUUUUUUUUUUAAUUUAGUUCAUCUGAUACCUCAUGAGGGAUUAAUCAGUAUUAUACUGUACAAAAAUGACAUGCUUUUGGAGAAUAAUUCUAUUUUCCAUUUGAUAAAAAUGUAGCUUAUAAUUUUAAUUUAAGUUUAUGAAAUUUAAUUUUUCAUUAUAUUUUGCUAACGUUAGACAUAAACUUAAAACUAUUCAGAUCUUCCAUGGUGUUGAAUGAUAAAAAAAAUAUUGUCAGUCCUAAAUAAAAUGAAUUGAAAUUUGUUAUCAACCCUCACCCCCUGGGUUUUGCUUGUUUUUUUGUGUGUGUAUUAUUUGUUUGUGUCAAAACUAGCAAUCAAGCUACUUCAUGUUAUCUUCAAAAUUGCUGCCCUUCCUCUUUAUUCUUUCCAAUAUAAAUGGAUGCAAUUUUCUUUAAUCUUUUUGGUAUAAAUAAGUUUUCUUUUUUUUUCCGUUGAAUUUCUUAUGUGACAUGGCCAUGUGGUUCAGUCCCCACUGUGUGGCACCUGGAGCAAUUGUCUUCUAUAACCCUGGGCCAGCCAAAGCCUUCUGGAUGGAUCUGGCAGACAGAAACUGAAAGAUGGCUAUCGUGUGUGUGUCCACUCUUGUCGAGACAUCGUGUGACGGUCGUAAAUGAGCAUUAUCGUCAUACAAGUAAUAUUGUUUAUUUCUAGUCUUCUGAAAAAUGUCUGGCUAUGAAAAAUAUUACCUUGUUUGGAAAUGAGUGAGGAAUGGUGGCAGGAAGGGCAUCUGGCUGUAGAAAAUCAGCUUCAAGAAUUCCAUCUGGACCAUGGAAAAGUGGAGAUAAAAUGAGACGUGAAAUUUGAAAGUAGCACUAACUUUUUUUCAAAUCAUUUUUAAUAUCUUGCCAUAAAUAUACUUUCUGUCUAAAUUUUGCAGUAUUUUUCAUGUGCAGUUUCAGCCGUUAUGUGAUAAUUAGAUUGGUUUCUAACAAACAUCUGACUGAAUAGUAAUUAGAUCACUAUUCCUAACAAAUAUAUCAUUGGUUCUUAUAUGAUUACAGUGAAGAGCAGUAUCAUAACAAAUUAAAAUUCUAAAAGUUUUUGUUAACCACUCUUGGUCUCAUGUUCCCAACCAGCACCAAAUACACUGAGUUGUUCAAUUUAGACUGAAAUCUUACUGUACAAAUAAUUAGGCAAGAUUUCAGUAGGUAAAAGAAUUUGUAUUUUUAUGUGAGAAUAUUUUAUAUUUAAAAAAAAUAUAUUUCCAAACACCAUCUUAAUAUAUCAAUAAAAAAAAAAUUUAACAACUUAUUUUAUUGUUUUACUGAACUCCUCCAGAUUUUCAGUUUUUAAAAUUGAAUCAUGGUUUUCCCUUAAAACAUGGUUAUGAAAAGGACUUUUUGAACCAAUUUUUCCUGAAACAAAAUACUGGCAAUCUCCUUAUUUUUGUAUUUAACUUCAAAAUGAAGCUUAUUUGGUUAAGUAACUAGCUACAUUAACAAAUUUAGAAAAAAUCUAAAUGCAUCUGUAAAUUACUUAAAUUGAUAAUUUUGCAGAAUCUGUAUCAAAGCAUUCUUAUAAUAAAUGCAUCUUUUAUUGAUUGAGUUAAAAAUAAGUUACCCUCUUAUUUUCAAGAGGGUAACUUAUGGGCAAAAGUGUUUCAGCUGUAGUCAUCUUGUUUCAUGGCCAAUAUCGGUGACUGCUUUAUGAAUUAUCAACAUAGGGCAAGUUUCUUUAACUAGUUACAUUACUAAUGUUUUUAGAUACCCUCUCUAAUCUUACUUUUUAAUUGUUUUCAUUAAACUUUGAUUUAAUUUUUUUUUUUUUUAAUGCAUAAAUAUUUUGAUAAUCUCAGCUCUUAUUCAGAAUUGCUGGAAAUAUCAAUAUUUGGAUAAAUAUAGAACUUUUCACAAAUUCUGUUCAAAUUAAAAUCUAAUAUUGUAUUAAAAUAUAAAUCAUAAUGUAAAGCAAAAUACUUUUAAUUUAUUCAAAGUUAUAUUUUCUUUGACCUUUCUGUUGUCCUCAAAUUCUUUAAUUUUUAUUUAAAAAUUCCUUGAAGGAAGAAAUAACAUGGAUCUUCCAACAUCAUGCUUUAAGUUUCCAUGUACCAUAAUAAAAAAAUUUUUUCAAGAUAUGAAAACUCUUUUCAAUUGUAAGAUAUGUAUUUUUGUUUUUUUAAUAAAUUUUGUAGUCAUGAAAUUCCUAACAAUAUCCUGGAUUUAUGAGUGCUUUAAAGUUCCUAGAAAAGUUUUUUGAUAUCUUUGAAAAAUACCAAAAGUGGCUCAAUCCAGAUGCUUCAAUCAAACUACUGCACUAUUUUUGUUUGUUCCGUCAUUUAUUAAAUUCUCUUUAUUCCAUUCUGAUUUUACUGGAAUAAAUUUGAUAUAUAAUAAUUCUGCAAUAAAAGAAAGUUAAAUAAUCUUUUAAUUAGCUUCUAUUUUGUUGCUUUUCUUUGAUAUUCUGAUUUUUAAAAAAUAUUUAUUUAUUUUGUUGGAAUAAAAAAAAAAAAGAAUUGUUAUUUUUGUCCAUUCUGAAAUUUGCAAGAGAAGAAAUACCAUUCAAUGCCUGUUCUGUAUUUGGUAGCUAUUGAACCUCCUUCUCAUUUUUAAAUCAUUAAUCACAUUUGAUUUCCACGUGCUUUUUGUUUUAAAUCUGUUUUGGGGCUCAAACAGAAAAGCUUGACUUGAUUUUAGCUCCUUUGUAGGGCCUCAGUACUUUAUAAAUUAUACAGCAAUGCAUAUAGCUUACAGCUUUAGUUUGUAGGGUUAUCCUCUUCCAAAUUUUGCUAGUAUAUAUAUCUAUCGACAUAAUUAUACAGUCUCAUCUUUGAUAAAUAAGAAAAAAUGGUAGUCUCAGUUUUCAUAAGAUGGUACCUGUUUGAGAUGAUUCUUUUUUUCCCCUCCUCCAGAUUCAUAUCUUUUUACUUCAGUUGCACCACUAAAUCAACUUAAUAUUUAUUUAAUUUUGUCGAGAUUCUUUGCGAUAUAUUUUAGUUUCGGAUAUAAUUUUAUGAAAACUGUGUUUCAUAACUAUAUGCUCUUUAAAUUACCUAUCAUGUUCAACUAACAAACACCACUUUUGUGUUGUCUAUGAUUUAAAUAGCAAUCAGUAAAAGCGGAAUUAACCAAUCAGUAUUCUAUGAAUCAAAUUUAAAAUUUCUCUGUAAUAAAACCAGUCACAUCGAAAAAUGAAGAUAAUAAAAUUUAGUCUAAUUUCAAAUUUAAAUGUCGUAAUCUAUAAUUAGUGAAUCAAGAACAGGCCAUAUUGGAUGUCUUCCUCUCUAUUGACUGUGGCUUCACAGCACAUACAAUGCACAUUUCUUGCUGGGUUCUUGCCAUAGUUUUAUUGAAGUCUUACCAGCUACAUUUAACCCUU